rnacentral:rRNA from 1 species
AACGAACGCUGGCGGCAGGCUUAACACAUGCAAGUCGAACGGUUGUACCAAUACAGCAGUGGCAGACGGGUGAGUAACACGUGGGAACCUUCCUAGGGGUACGGAACAACUCAGGGAAACUUGAGCUAAUACCGUAUACGUCCGUGAGGAGAAAGAUUUAUCGCCCUUAGACGGGCCCGCGUCGGAUUAGCUAGUUGGUGGGGUAACGGCCUACCAAGGCGACGAUCCGUAGCUGAUCUUAAAGGAUGAUCAGCCACACUGGGACUGAGACACGGCCCAGACUCCUACGGGAGGCAGCAGUGGGGAAUCUUGGACAAUGGGCGCAAGCCUGAUCCAGCCAUGCCGCGUGAGUGAAGAAGGUCUUCGGAUUGUAAAGCUCUUUUGCCAGGGACGAUAAUGACGGUACCUGGAGAAUAAGCCCCGGCAAACUUCGUGCCAGCAGCCGCCGCCG